GAUGAACGCUGGCGGCAUGCCUUACACAUGCAAGUCGAACGGCAGCGGGGGAGAAGCUUGCUUUUCCUGCCGGCGAGUGGCGAACGGGUGAGUAAUACAUCGGAACGUGCCCUGUAGUGGGGGAUAACUAGUCGAAAGAUUAGCUAAUACCGCAUACGACCUGAGGGUGAAAGUGGGGGACCGCAAGGCCUCAUGCUAUAGGAGCGGCCGAUGUCUGAUUAGCUAGUUGGUGGGGUAAAGGCCUACCAAGGCGACGAUCAGUAGCUGGUCUGAGAGGACGAUCAGCAACACGGGGACUGAGACACGGCCCAGACUCCUACGGGAGGCGGCAGUGGGGAAUUUUGGACAAUGGGCGAAAGCCUGAUCCAGCAAUGCCGCGUGUGUGAAGAAGGCCUUCGGGUUGUAAAGCACUUUUGUCCGGAAAGAAAUGGCUCUGGUUAAUACCUGGGGUCGAUGACGGUACCGGAAGAAUAAGGACCGGCUAACUACGUGCCAGCCGCCGCCGUAA
rnacentral:rRNA from 1 species